rnacentral:misc_RNA from 1 species
CGCACAUUGCGCCCUUUGGUAUUCCGAAGGGCAUGCCUGUUCGAGCGUCAUUAUCACCUCUCAAGCCUGGCUUGCUGUUGGACUUCUGGUUAUACUCUAAGUAUUACCGGUCCCAAAGAUAAUGACGGCGUCUGUGAGGACCCCAGUACACUGAGCUUCUUUUAGCACGUAUUAGGUGGAAGUCCAGGCCCGGUCUUACCCAUAUUUUUAUCAAGGUUGACCUCGGAUCAGGUAGGAAUACCCGCUGAACUUAA